GCGGGGGUGCCCGAGCCCGGUCAAAGGGGGCGGACUUAAGACCUACAGGUGAGAGAUCCGCUGGCGUAGGCCUGCGUGGGUUCGAAUCCCAUCCCCCGCACCA
rnacentral:tRNA from 1 species